UACGGAGGGGGCUGGCGUUGUUCGGAAUUACUGGGCGUAAAGCGCGCGUAGGCGGACCUGCAAGUCGGGGGGGAAAGCCCGAGGCUCAACCUCGGAACUGCCUUCGAUACUGCGGGUCUCGAGUCCGGGAGAGGUGAGUGGAAUUCCUAGUGUAGAGGUGAAAUUCGUAGAUAUUAGGAAGAACACCAGUGGCGAAGGCGGCUCACUGGCCCGGUACUGACGCUGAGGCGCGAAAGCGUGGGGAGCAAACAGG
rnacentral:rRNA from 1 species